UACAGAGGUCGUCAAGCGUUGUUCGGAUUCAUUUGGGCGUAAAGGGUGCGUAGGCGGCGCGGUAAGUCGGGUGUGAAAUCUCGGGCUUAACUCCGAAACUGCAUUCGAUACUGCCGUGCUUGAGGACUGGAGAGGAGACUGGAAUUUACGGUGUAGCGGUGAAAAUGCGUAGAUAUCGUAAGGAAGACCAGUGGCGAAGGCGGCUCACUGGACCGUUGUUGACGCUGAGGUGCGAAAGCGUGGGGAGCAAACAGG
rnacentral:rRNA from 1 species